CCCUGGUGGCUCAGAUAGUAAAGAAUCCGCCUGCGAUGCGGAAGACCCGAGUUCGAUCCCCGGAUCAGGAA
rnacentral:tRNA from 1 species